AGCGCGGCGCUCGGAGGAGCUGCCGGCGUUUGGCUGCGCUUGGUCCUUGGGAUCUGGUUCGCACGGCGGUCCUCGCGCGGGCCUCGUCCCCCCGCCCGCCUGCCUCGGGAUCCUUUUGCGUUCUGAACUGUCCCAUAUGAUAGCUAACAAUCUCUGAGAAUUUCCCGUUGGCCAGACUGAGCGCUCUACGUAUUAAAUCGUCUAAGGGAGAAAAAGUGGGUGACUGUGGGUGACACGUCCCUUAGGAUAUUUAAGUGGGUUCCCGUGACAGACAGCAAGGAG